rnacentral:rRNA from 2 species
UUGGAGGGCAAGUCUGGUGCCAGCAGCCGCGGUAAUUCCAGCUCCAAUAGCGUAUAUUAAAGUUGUUGCAGUUAAAAAGCUCGUAGUUGAACUUCGGGGUCUACCCAUUGGUCAGGCUUAAUUGUCUGCACUGGUGAGAUGGAUCUCUACCUUCUGAGGAACUUUCAUGCCAUUUAUUUGGUGUGAUGGGAAAUCAGGACUGUUACUUUGAAAAAAUUAGAGUGUUUAAAGCAGACUAUCGUCUGAAUACAUUAGCAUGGAAUAAUGAAAUAGGACGGACUGAUUCUAUUUCGUUGGUUUCUAGGAUCACCGUAAUGAUUAAUAGGGAUAGUUGGGGGCAUUAGUAUUCAAUUGUCAGAGGUGAAAUUCUUGGAUUUAUUGAAGACUAACUACUGCGAAAGCAUUUGCCAAGGAUGUUUUCAUUAAUCAAGAACGAAAGUUAGGGGAUCGAAGACGAUCAGAUACCGUCGUAGUCUUAACCAUAAACUAUGCCGACUAGGGAUCGGACGAAGUUAAUUUUAUAAUGACGCGUUCGGCACCUUACGGGAAAC